UGGGGAAUUUUGGACAAUGGGCGCAAGCCUGAUCCAGCAAUGCCGCGUGCAGGAAGAAGGCCUUCGGGUUGUAAACUGCUUUUGUCAGGGAAGAAAUCUUCUGGGCUAAUACCCCGGGAGGAUGACGGUACCUGAAGAAUAAGCACCGGCUAACUACGUGCCAGCAGCCGCGGUAAUACGUAGGGUGCGAGCGUUAAUCGGAAUUACUGGGCGUAAAGCGUGCGCAGGCGGCUUUGCAAGACAGAUGUGAAAUCCCCGGGCUCAACCUGGGAACUGCAUUUGUGACUGCAAGGCUAGAGUACGGCAGAGGGGGAUGGAAUUCCGCGUGUAGCAGUGAAAUGCGUAGAUAUGCGGAGGAACACCAAUGGCGAAGGCAAUCCCCUGGGCCUGUACUGACGCUCAUGCACGAAAGCGUGGGGAGCAAACA
rnacentral:rRNA from 1 species